CUUUUUUCCCCAUAUAAGUUAUUACAAACUGUUGAGUAGAUUUUCCUAUGCAGUACAGCAGGUUCUUGUUAGGAAUUACGAAUUCUAAUGUGCAGUGUGUUUUUUUAAUGGCUCUGAUCUCAGGGUGGUACACCUGAAAAAAGUAGCUAGUUGGUGGAAGGAGAUGAGUUAGGAGUGGGCUUCAGGGACCUGGGUUCGAUUCCAAAAGUCUCACUUAAAAUGACAGUAACUGGGACUCUCACUUAUGAUUUGGCAGAAAACCCAGGUGGUUCCCAAGGCGGAGGCUGCCAGUAGCUGGUGGACAACAAGAAGAGUACAAAUCCUCGGCCGCUCCACCCUCUGUGGCCAACCAAUCCAAAAGCUCAGCCUGUAGAAGUGGAACGUGGCACUUGUAAAAGAAAAAGAAACUCCAGCGUCCUUCCUUGUCACCCAGUACAUGGAGAGAUUAUUUCAAUACUGGCUGUCUGGCAGGCCACCAAGAUUGCACCCAAAUUCUCUGCUGUGACUCUCUCUACACUAGGUGAUGCCACGAAACACACACUGAACCUGGUGGCAGAAGACUAGGGUUUGAGACCCACCUCUGUCCCUUAAUAGUUAGGCAACACCACUUUGUUCAUUCGGAUUUUAAAGUCACUUGCCGGGAAUACAAAAAGAGGAAGUGUUGAUUCAUCGGAUGGGGUGUGUCAGGGAGGAGACAUCUGGGCAUCCCACGCCUUUGAUGCAGAGGGAACUGCAGGGGCCAAAGCCUGGGGAUGAGACAGGGCUGACAUGCCAGGGCGGCUUUCCAGAGUUUGGUUUGGCUGCAGAACUGGGUUUCCACCGGGGAGCAGUGAGGGAUGAGGCCUCUCGAACCUUCGGUGUCUCCCUUUGUGAAAUGAAAGGUCAAGGUGGCCACUGGGGAUGCUUAUGGCUCAAACAUUCCCCGACUCUUUCAUCAUGGGAUGACUUAGACCUGGAUGGGACUGACCACAUGACCUCAGCAUUUGACUGCAAAUGAAUCAAGGGACAUUGAAGUAUGACAAAUAUGUGGGCUGCUCCUGCCACCCAAAAAGGAGCUGGUUGUUUUGGCUGUGGGUAUAAUUUUCUAUUUGAAAGGCACCACAGGUAUUCUUGAGGUUUGCUUUUUUGUUUGUUUGUUUUAAUCUACAGACAAAAUAAACACUUGACUUUUGAGGGUGUAUGUAAUCUAAUAGCCAAAAAAGUUUCUAAACCAGCUAAAAUAUUAGGUAAUAUAGAGUCUGAAGCUGUUCCCAGCGUGUGGCUGCUCAAGCAUAAGGCUUUCGUUUUCUCCACACAAGGCCAGAACUUUACAACUCAGUGAGGACUCUUCACAAUGGCAGGAUUUCAGGGACCUCAAGGGAGCAGGAGAUCAAGUUACUACACAUCCACACGGUAUCCCUGAUGAGCGGUGGGAUACCUGCUGUGUGGCAAAGUCAACCCCACUGCCUGCAGUUAUUCUGGAUUAUAAACCUAAUGUUCCUGAAUCUACUCAAUACCAUGUCAUAACCUCUAUGGGAAAUGAAUCAGAAAAGUAAUAGCAUGGCAGGUGGAUUCUGAGAGGAAACAUCCCAGGAGCAAAUGUUUCAAGAGACCCUGGCCGGAGCUGAGUGCCAACAUCAGCUGCCAGCCAUGUGAGCAAGCCAUGUUGGACGUCCACCCACCGAGUCUUCAGAUGAUGCUGGCCCCACCUGACAGCCAACUGUGACCACGCGACAGACUCCAAGGAGGAACCAGCCAGCUGAGCCCGUUCAACCCCCAGAAGGAGAUACACGCGAGUGGAACGGUGAUGAACUUCAUUGAGCAACAGGAUGGGAGACCUGGUGGGGGAUGUUUCUCUUACGGGAGGAGAGGCGCCUGCUACAUGGAGAAAAGAUGCCGUGGACCAGGGGAGGGUCAAGACGCUUCCUAUGCCGGGUUGGGUUGGUGGGGCCUCUGGUGGAAUUCAGUCCUUGGCCGGAAAUCCCUACCUUCGACUUUGGAAGAGACGAGGGGGGGCUCAGCAAACCUGGCCGCCGCUCCUUGGGUUUGGCAAACUGGAGAUUUUUCCAGCGCCUUGUGUUCAGCGAGAACCGAAAAUGUGUUUGGCUAGAAACCCUUCUCUAAUUUUUAAACCCCUGUGCAUUUUUUACGUAAAUUUGCGCCACAUGGUUUUGAUUUAUUUUUAUUGAACUCAUCAAAUCGAAUUAGGAGCUACAAUGAUGAAUGGGAACAACGCUGAUUUCCAAGAAGAUUUUUGAGCCUUUUUUCUUAGAAUUAAAUCACAUUCCAGCCCCCACCCCCAGCCCCAGCCGUUAAAAUUACCAGACUGAGCUGAGUUUGAAAGUUAGAACCCAAAUGUGAAAUAAAGAUCCAUGCUUGGCAAAGAGGAAGCAUAGCAGGGGAAUGUUCUGAGGAAGUCACGGUUAGAGAGCCAGGGCAGGCCUGGGCUGGGGGUGGGGGAAUGAAAGCAGGAAGGGAGGCAGUUAUUCUUCCUGAGGAGCUUUAUAUACAUUGACCUGGCUUUGUGGGUUCCCAGCAGAGGCCCCCUGUGUCACCACCGCCCAGGGGAAGGAGUUUCUGCCCCAAGACUGGGACUAGGGGGGGCUGUACCCCUCUUCUUUCUUCUGCGCUCCUCCAUCAUAGCUGAUUCAAGCUGCUCCCACCUCGUCCCUCUAACUUUCCUCCCCCUCUCCUGGCUCUGGCUAAGGCCUCUCCAUCUGGAAGCAUUUAAAACGUACAACAAUUUUAAUCCCGUGCAAGGGAAUCUUGAGAUCUACACUACAUACCCAUUAGGCUAAAUUAUAGGUGCACAAUCUCAUUUUGCACAAUUCUGUCUGUCCUAGGUUGGCACACACGAAAGGCCGUUCCUGUCUUUCCCAGUUACUGCUUCUACUCUGCCAUCAUUUUUAGUCUGAGACCAUAUUUCUCUGAGAAACUCAGGCCACUGAGGUCCCAAGACAGAGGUACAAUCUUCGGAGCCCUUUGAAACAGUACUCUUAGACACUUGGGUCUCUUAGACACUGACCCAAGAAUUUCCUUGAACUCAGCUUCUCUCUCUGUACUCCAGAGCCUGAUCAUCUCACUAGUUAAUAACUACAUAUAACCAUCGGGGAGUUAAUUUACUUCUCUGCGUCUCAAUUUCUUGAUCUGUAAAAUGGGUAUAACAACGAGACAUACCUCACAGAGUUGUUGUUAUGAGGAUUAAAUGAGACACUGCCCAUUAAAAAAAAAAAAAAGUAUGUUGUUUGGCCCAGACCAUGUGGUUAAUAAAUGCUACUUGUUAUUGUUAUCAUAAAAACUCUACAUUUUAUUCAACUCUGUACCUUUCCUAAGAGCACUUAAAUUUUGCCAGAGGUUGCCAGUUUCAUGCAAAUCCGCAUCACUCCAGACAGGUGACAUGAAGUAUCUGAUCAACCCACUGGGAUUUUUCAUCAGUCCCACGGGAGUCUCCCAUGCUGGCCUGAGUUUUAAACCUACGGUCUGGCUCUGUGGGUUCUCAGCAGAAGACCCCUUAGCUAUUGAAAGA